UUGAGUGCUUCAACAAUACGCAGCUUA
rnacentral:piRNA from 1 species